UAACGGCGAGUGAAGCGGCAACAGCUCAAAUUUGAAAUCUGGCGCAAGCCCGAGUUGUAAUUUGUAGAGGAUGCUUCUGGGUAGCGACCGAUCUAAGUUCCUUGGAACAGGACGUCAUAGAGGGUGAGAAUCCCGUAUGUGACCGGCCCGCACCCUCCACGUAGCUCCUUCGACGAGUCGAGUUGUUUGGGAAUGCAGCUCUAAAUGGGAGGUAAAUUUCUUCUAAAGCUAAAUACCGGCCAGAGACCGAUAGCGCACAAGUAGAGUGAUCGAAAGAUGAAAAGUACUUUGGAAAGAGAGUUAAAAAGCACGUGAAAUUGUUGAAAGGGAAGCGCCUGCAACCAGACUUCGCGGCAGUGUUCCGCCGGUCUUCUGACCGGUUCACUCUCUGUCGCGAGGCCAUCAUCGUCUGGGCCCGCCGGAUAAGACCGGAGGAAUGUAGCUCACCUUCGGGGGAGUGUUAUAGCCUCUGGUGAUGCGGCGAGGCUCGGGCGAGGUCCGCGCUUCGGCAAGGAUGAUGGCGUAAUGGUUGUCGGCGGCCCGUCUUGAAACACGGACCAAGGAGUCUAACAUCUAUGCGAGUGUUCGGGUGUCAAACCCCUACGCGUAAUGAAAGUGAACGGAGGUGGGAACCGCAAGGUGCACCAUCGACCGAUCCUGAUGUCCUCGGAUGGAUUUGAGUAAGAGCAUAGCUGUUGGGACCCGAAAGAUGGUGAACUAUGCCUGAAUAGGGUGAAGCCAGAGGAAACUCUGGUGGAGGCUCGCAGCGGUUCUGACGUGCAAAUCG
rnacentral:rRNA from 1 species